AGAGCGAACGCUGGCGGCAGGCUUAACACAUGCAAGUCGAGCGGGCGUAGCAAUACGUCAGCGGCAGACGGGUGAGUAACGCGUGGGAACGUACCUUUUGGUUCGGAACAACCCAGGGAAACUUGGGCUAAUACCGGAUAAGCCCUUACGGGAAAGAUUUAUCGCCGAAAGAUCGGCCCGCGUCUGAUUAGCUAGUUGGUGAGGUAAUGGCUCACCAAGGCGACGAUCAGUAGCUGGUCUGAGAGGAUGAUCAGCCACAUUGGGACUGAGACACGGCCCAAACUCCUACGGGAGGCAGCAGUGGGGAAUAUUGGACAAUGGGCGCAAGCCUGAUCCAGCCAUGCCGCGUGAGUGAUGAAGGCCCUAGGGUUGUAAAGCUCUUUUGUGCGGGAAGAUAAGUGACGGUACCGCAAGAAUAAGCCCCGGCUAACUUCGCGCCAGCAGCCGC
rnacentral:rRNA from 1 species